AGAUUACACCACUGAGACUUCACUGAUGUAUAGUACUUAGGAGUGAGAUGUUAAUCUGACAAAUGACAAUGUAACUCUGGCAUCAUGUUUCCAAAGAAGAUGGUGUGUUCUGGGCUUCCUUGAUUCUCUUCUGAAAGUCAUCUAAAAGAAGACAUCUCUGACACACAGCUGAACAAAGAAGAAAAAGAGAGUUGUAGAGUGUCAGUUUAGUAGAGAAACAUAAUACGUGACACUGAGUCUGUUGAUUAACACUUCUGAAGAGGUGAGUAACCAGAAGUCUGGGGGAAAUGGGAAGGAGACAGGGUUACUGGAAGGAGCAGAAUUAUGGGAGAAGCUUUAUGAGUGAAGUCCCUUGGCUCUGGGCAGCAAUACUGGCAUAUUUCAUCUAGCAGCUUAAUGCUCUGAGAUGGGUAUCCACUGCAAGGAGAGAAGGAAGAGAUUCACUGCCUCUGGUUGGAAGCAGAUCAACCUGCUAAGGCAUGGAAAGCCGACAGUGGCAACAAAUGUGAUAGGGACAUGCAAUAUUUUUGGGCAAUGACAACAAUGUUCCCAGGCCAUACUGGCUUAUGAUGGUUAGGACCACUUCAGUAGACUGGGAGACCAAGAAUUUAUGUGUGAGAUAGAGGAAAAUGAAAAUUCUUGGGUUACAGGGUGAACACACAAGGCUAAAUAGGCAAUCAUGAUACCAUAAAUAAUUCAUCUGGGAAGUCAUAUUUCAGGGCCAAGGUUUUAAAAAUCAUCCAGAAUAGACCCACCAUCUUAGGAAAGUUGAGUAGGCCUUGAAAGAAAACUGAACAGAGAAUCAGAAAGGUAGCUUUCUGGGGGAAUGUAGGUACAGCAGUAAAGACCAGUCUUCGUUCUGUCUAUCUACUGCACCUUAAACUGUGUCAUAAAUAUUGACCAGAAAUAUCAGCAGAUGACAUCUGAAUGCUUUUGAAAUUUUGUUUCUGAGGGUUACUCUUCUAACCUCUCUAUAUGGUCUCUUCAAUCUGGAAUAAUAAACAGUUAUUGGGUGGCAUCCUUAAGUCAGUGAUCUGAUUAGACUAGCAACUUCCAAAGUCCCCACCACCCUUUUUUCUAACACUAUCUGCUGAACUCUAGGAUUGACAGUCUGCGCUUCAGUCUAAAACCGGAGUAGCUCUGCAUCUGUUCGAUGAUGAAUAAUGCAGGGCCCCUUGUUUAUUUGCUUGCUCUGAAAUCUUACCCUGUUUUUCAGCAUCCCUUUCUAGGUCCAAUAUAUAACUAAUUGUUGGCAGAUGUAGAAAGUAUU